UGGCCUGAAUUUCAACCCGUAGCAUAUACGUAUCUACGACUAUUUCCCAACCUCAAAUCAAGCAAGACUACCCGCUGAACUUAAGCAUAUCAAUAAGCGGAGGAAAAGAAACCAACAGGGAUUGCCCCAGUAACGGCGAGUGAAGCGGCAAAAGCUCAAAUUUGAAAUCCUGCGGGAGUUGUAAUUUGAAGGUGGCCCGGCGGGUUGACGGCAGUAUCAAGUCCAUUGGAACAUGGCGCCAUAGAGGGUGAGAGCCCCGUGGAUACUCGCCCGAAGCCCACACGCUGGACCUCCAAAGAGUCGAGUUGUUUGGGAAUGCAGCUCUAAUGGGUGGUAAAUUCCAUCCAAAGCUAAAUACCGGCGAGAGACCGAUAGCGAACAAGUACAGUGAUGGAAAGAUGAAAAGCACUUCGAAAAGAGAGUGAAACAGUACGUGAAAUUGUUGAAAGGGAAGGGUUUGCAAGCMGACACGGCUUYGGCUGGGCCAGUAUCGGUAAGGCGUGGCACAUAAAUCGGCSUCAAKGUAGCAGGCGACUGUAUUAUAGGGCGCCAGCAUAUGCCAUGGCUUCCGAGGACAGCU
rnacentral:rRNA from 1 species